AUUGAACGCUGGCGGCAGGCCUAACACAUGCAAGUCGAACGAGUGGCGGACGGGUGAGUAAUGUCUGGGAAACUGCCUGAUGGAGGGGGCUAACUACUGGAAACGGUAGCUAAUACCGCAUACCAUCGGAUGUGCCUAGAUGGGAUUAGCUAGUAGGUGGGGUAACGGCUCACCUAGGCGACGAGCCCUAGCUGGUCUGAGAGGAUGACCAGCCACACGGGAACUAAGACACGGUCCAGACCCCUACGGGAGGCAGCAGUGGGGAAUAUUGCACAAUGGGCGCAAGCCUGAUGCAGGCAUGCCGCGUGUAUGAAGAAGGCCUUCGGGUUGUAAAGUACUUACAGCGGGGAGGCGUUACCCGCAGAAGAAGCACCGGCUAACUCCGUGCCAGCCGGCGCGGUAAUUC
rnacentral:rRNA from 1 species